rnacentral:rRNA from 1 species
UACGUAGGGUGCGAGCGUUGUCCGGAAUUACUGGGCGUAAAGAGCUCGUAGGCGGUUUGUUGCGUCGUCCGUGAAAACUUGGGGCUCAACCCCAAGCUUGCGGGCGAUACGGGCAGACUUGAGUACUGCAGGGGAGACUGGAAUUCCUGGUGUAGCGGUGAAAUGCGCAGAUAUCAGGAGGAACACCGGUGGCGAAGGCGGGUCUCUGGGCAGUAACUGACGCUGAGGAGCGAAAGCGUGGGUAGCGAACAGG